rnacentral:rRNA from 1 species
UACGAAGGGGGCUAGCGUUGUUCGGAAUUACUGGGCGUAAAGGGCGCGUAGGCUGUGCUGUAAGUCAGGCGUGAAAGCCCCGGGCUCAACCUGGGAAUUGCGCUUGAUACUGCGGCGCUGGAAGGUGGGAGAGGAUGGCGGAAUUCCCAGUGUAGAGGUGAAAUUCGUAGAUAUUGGGAAGAACACCGGUGGCGAAGGCGGCCAUCUGGCCCAUUUUUGACGCUGAGGCGCGAAAGCGUUGGGGAGCAAACAGG